GAUGAACGCUAGCGGGAGGCUUAAUACAUGCAAGUCGAGGGAGAAAUUUGUUUUUCGGAAUGAAUGGAAACCGGCGCACGGGUGAGUAACGCGUACACUACCUACCUUAUACUGGGGGAUAGCCUUUGGAAACGAAGAGUAAUACCCCAUGGUCUCGUAAGAGUAAAGCUCCGGCGGUAUAAGAUGGGUGUGCGUUUGACUAGCUAGUUGGUGGGGUAACGGCCCACCAAGGCGACGAUCAAUAGGGGGCGUGAGAGCGUGAUCCCCCACACGGGUACUGAGACACGGACCCGACUCCUACGGGAGGCAGCAGUAAGGAAUAUUGGACAAUGGGCGAAAGCCUGAUCCAGCCAUCCCGCGUGAAGGAUGAAUGCCCUAUGGGUUGUAAACUUCUUUUGCUUGGAAAGAAACGCUCCGAUUUAUCGGAGCCUGACGGUACCUUGCGAAUAAGCACCGGCUAACUCCG
rnacentral:rRNA from 1 species